rnacentral:rRNA from 1 species
GAUGAACGCUGGCGGCGUGCUUAACACAUGCAAGUCGAGCGAGUGAGUUCUUUGGACCGAUCUAGCGGCGGACGGGUGAGUAACACGUGGGCAACCUGCCUCAUAGAGGGGAAUAGCCUUUGGAAAGGAAGAUUAAUACCUCCUAAGAUAGUAGCUUCGCAUGAAGUAGCAAUUAAAGGAGCAAUCCGCUAUGAGGUGGGCCCGCGGCGCAUUAGCUAGUUGGUGAGGUAACGGCUCACCAAGGCGACGAUGCGGAGCCGACCUGAGAGGGUGAUCGGCCACAUUGGGACUGAGACACGGCCCAGACUCCUACGGGAGGCAGCAGUGGGGAAUAUUGCACAAUGGGGGAAACCCUGAUGCAGCAACGCCGCGUGAGUGAUGACGGCCUUCGGGUUGUAAAGCUCUGUCUUCAGGGACGAUAAUGACGGUACCUGAGGAGGAAGCCACGGCUAACUACGUGCCAGCCGCCGCCGUAA